GGAGCCUAUGGCUUAGGAAGUGGAAUGCAAGAGAGUCAUUGGCAUUAAAACUCUUACAACGAAGGAUAAGGUACUUACAAUCUGCUUUUGUUUUAAAGGUUUCACAGAGAAGCUGCCAUCAACAUGCUGGGGGAGGAAAAGAAAGAGGAGCGCAGGAAGACAACACUGGACAUGAUGGGGAGAACAACAAGACUCCAUCAGCUGCUACUGUGGCUAGACCCAAGAAUUGGCAGCGACGUGGUUCAAAAGGUCAGCCUGCUUUGCCUGAUGAUUCUCUCUCCUGUGAUGUUUACUUAGUUCUCCAUUUAAUGAGUAAUAAACCACUCUCUAACCUCCUUUA